rnacentral:tRNA from 1 species
AAGAUUUUAAGUUAAAAAAACUAAUAACCUUCAAAGUUAUAAAUAAAAAUAUUUUUAAAUCUUA